rnacentral:rRNA from 1 species
GACAGAGGGUGCAAACGUUGUUCGGAAUUACUGGGCUUAAAGCGCGUGUAGGCGGGACGGCACGUCGGCCGCUGAAAUCCCCCGGCUCAACCGGGGAAGGGGCGCCGAUACGACCGGCCUGGAGGGACGUAGGGGGGGCUGGAACUUCCGGUGGAGCGGUGAAAUGCGUUGAGAUCGGAAGGAACGCCCGUGGCGAAAGCGAGCCCCUGGACGUCUACUGACGCUGAGACGCGAAAGCCAGGGGAGCGAACGGG